GGGGCAGAAGACAGGGGUGGCGACAGGUCCAUGCGUAGCUUGGACAAGAGAUGGGGCCGCGGGCCUGCGUUCACUGGGGCUACGGACUCCCACUUCGGGGGGAGCCUGAAGGGCCACGCCUCCAUGAGACAGACAGAAGCUCUACCUGCUGCCCCCAGAAAUGAGAAAGGACGUUUUCUGUCUUCCCAGAGAUCAAAAGGAAAAGGCUCACAGAAGAAACAGAAACGCUGGGCGCAUGACGUGGGACUGUGUGAGGAAGGAGAAAAAAAAAUGCGUGCUUUCCUGUGAGGACACGUCCCGAAACUAGAAGAUGAGCUGACACUGAGAGCAGUUCCCGCAAGAAACAACAGGACUUGUGUCCCCGAGAAUGAGAGAUGCCGCGUGACCGAGCCUCAGGAGGGCCGGCCAGCCAGCCUCGGGGUCGCACUAGGCACGACGGCCCUGGGGAUGGAGACAGGUGGGACUUCUGUGCUGUGAGAGUGGACAGCACGGCCCUCGCCCUGCAGCCGCACACCGGGGGCUGUCCCUGACACUCCCAGGCAAGGACGCCAGCAAGCAGUACCCUACAGGCUUGGCCCAAGAGAGGGAAGCCCCUUCUAUUUUGCACAACCGAGCCCUGCUCCCUGCAUCUGUCUGGGCACAUUGGCAUUUAUGGCGGCAGGCCCAUGACGGCCUCGAGCCUCCCAACUCCCUUCUUGUCCCCUCCCCUGCUCUGUCCCCACCUGGGGUGGGUGACCCAGACCUCCUUGUUCACCACCUUUUGAAAGAGAGCCACCCCUUUGCCUGCCUUAUACUGAGACCCACGCUGGUCACUGGGUCUGCUCUGGGGAGGCCCACCAGGCCUUAGCAGCUUUCCUAGGAAGACUGGCAGAACAUCCCAGAGCCCGGAGACGCGGGGUGUGGGCUACAAGGGUGGUGUGUGGGAUCUGGGUGGAAACAACAGUCUGGCCAUGAGGCUUCUUGUUCUGCACGGCGGAGUAGGGCCCGAGAGGUUGGAGGGGACUCCUUGAUCUGGGGGGCACAACCCAGGCCCCCUGUGCCCAACAGUGUGGUUACAGAUGAUGGUUCAUUUUAACAAACCAACCCUCACAAGGUGGACACCUGCUGUGAAAGUUGUGCACCUGAGCACACCCAAGUGCACAGAUGCGUCGUCAUGAAUGCAUACACAACACCAAGGCACACGUGUCCACGUAUUCCGUGCACACCAGCACACACGCAGCACCGACGCAUGCAUAAACACGUGCGUGCACCCCUGCACACGUGUACACCCGUGCAUACCCGCGCACGCACGUAUACCUCCAUAGGUGCACGAACACACACACACACGACCUCACAACCAGAAGGUAGCUCAGUGACAGGAACCCAAGGCGGGGACGGGAAGGUGUUGGCGCUGAGCCCGGCCUGCUCCCGCAAGCUGCUCCGGGGCCGCGUCAGGAGGGAAGGUAGCUAACGAUCACGCUCUUCUGCUCGGGCCUGGUGGUGGAGAGCUGGCCGGCGUUCUUAAUAAGAAGCAAAAGGCUUAUGUAACCCGUGCCGUCCGGGAGGAAGUGAUGCUUUCAGGGAUCAGUGAGAAAACACCUGUCCUUUGAAAGAAGCGGUGAUGUGCCCUGAAAACCCCUACUUGAUUUACUGUCCUGUGACUUUGUCACCAGAGCCUGUCCAGUCUGUCGCCUAGGGCAGCUCUCCUACCUGCCCGUGUCCAACACGCGGAAACCCCUUCUCCCUACUCUGUUAGAAAGAGGACUUCCCGGUAAAAAGUCUCGGUGAGCGUUGAGCCCAUCUGUUGAAGACGCGCAAAGGCGGCUCUUCCCACCGGUCUGCGGGAGCAGGACGGGUUCGGGGAGGACAGGGUCUGCGCAAGCUUGUGUGUGGCUGGGGCCGUCGCGGACGAGGUCAUGACUGGGGAGCGUGGCGGAGGGUGCCCUCCUUGCCUGCCGUUCACAGAGCCUUUCGGGGUGGUCUCUUCUGUGGCGGCCACGCCUGGACCGGAGCCGUGGGUCGCGGGGCUCUGGGCUCCAGACCGAGGGGCUGGAAGCGACAGAGCGUGGUCACUCCCACGGCCGCCCUCGAAACCAUUACAGCGGCUGGUUCUGAAUUACUCGUCCCGUUCUGUUGAGGGCUAGAUGAUCUUUAAGGACAAGUGAACGUGCUGAAGUCUUGUUUAUUUCAUUUUAUCCCCUUUCUCGUUUCCACGUAUGUUUGUGGUAUAUUUAAUAUUUUAGUGCAGUGGAUCAUGCGUACGUAUUUUUAAUUAAAUAGAUGACAUAUAUUUGGGGGAAUUUGCUCAGAUCCUUUUUACUGGUGUGUGGGUCAUCAAAAAUGUUUUGAGACUGCUCAUCAAAUUACGUUUUUGUUUUAAUUUUAAAGGGUUAAAAGCAUACAUAAAAUACU